rnacentral:tRNA from 1 species
GCUAUUUUGGCAGAAAAAUGUAAUGGUUUUAGAAGUCAUAUAAAUAUAAUAUAUAAUUAAUUAUAUAAGUAGUA